UGUGGGGAUUAAUUCCCAAGGAGAACCACCUCUUCUUUUGGAUUAAUUUCCAAGGAGGUGACGCACUUUUUUCUGCAUUACUUCUUUACUAAGCCAAAUUCAUUUGUGCGAGUAGCCAGAAACAUAGAGUGAGAAACAGAGAGAGUGGGUUCAUGGUUUUUACUUUCAGCUUCUCUUUUUAGUUUUAUUUCAGUUCCUUCUUCUUUAUUAAUUUAACGGUACUCGUUUAAUUAUGUCCAGAGAAGAGCUCUGCAAGUGAAGAUUAUUUGAGGUCCUUGUUCGAUUCGUGAGUUCGAUUCAUGAGUUCGAGCUCUGCAAGUAUAAUCGGUUCCAUAUGUCCAACGGAUACACACUCUAUAUGUAAGCAGUGCGACAGAUAUAUACUCAAAUUUGUAAGUAAUGCAACAGAUAUGUACUCAGAUUUGUAAAAAGUGCAGCAGAUAUGUACUCAAAUUUUAAGCAUGGUGGCAGAUAUGUACUCAAAUUUGUAACACAAAUUUAGCAGAUAUAUACUCAAAUUUGUGGUAUUUUAUAUGUUUUAAUUAAAUUUUGACCUCCCGAUAAA